GACGAACGCUGGCGGCGUGCUUAACACAUGCAAGUCGAACGGAAAGGCCCUGCUCUUGUGGCGUGCUCGAGAGGCGAACGGGUGAGUAUCACGUGAGUAACCUGCCCUUGACUGUGGGAUAACUCCAGGAAACUGGGGCUAAUACCGCAUAGGAGCUCCUGCUCCAUGGUGGGGGUUGGAGAGUUUCGGCCGUUGGGGAUGGUCUCGCGGCUUAUCAGCUUGUUGGUGGGGUAGUGGCAUACCAAGGCUUUGACGGGUAGCCGGCCUGAGAGGGUGACCGGCCACAAUGGGACUGAGGUACGGCCCAGACUCCUACGGGAGGCAGCAGGGGGGAAUAUUGCACAGUGGGCGGAAGCCUGAUGCAGCAACGCCGCGUGCGGGAUGACGGCCCUCGAGUUGUAAACCGCUUUCGACUGUGACGAAGAGUGAGUGACGGUAAUGGGUAAAGAAGCACCGGCUAACUACGUG
rnacentral:rRNA from 1 species